rnacentral:rRNA from 1 species
CCUACGUGAGGCAGCAGUGGGGAAUAUUGCACAAUGGGGGAAACCCUGAUGCAGCGACGCCGCGUGAGUGAAGAAGUAUUUCGGUAUGUAAAGCUCUAUCAGUCGGGAAGAAAAUAACGGUACCUGAUUACGAAUCCCCGGCUAACUACGUGCCAGCAGCCGCGGUAAUACGUAGGGGGCAAGCGUGAUCCGGAUUUACUGGGGGUAAAGGGAGCUUCGACGGAAGCCUAAGGCUGGAGUUAAAUGGCGGGGGUUAACCCCGGAACUGCUGUGGAAACUGGGCAGCUAGAGUGGAGGAGAGGUAAGUGGAAUGCGUGGUGUAGCGGUGAAAUGCGUAGAUAUUACGAGGAACACCAGUGGCGAAGGCGGCUUACUGGACUGUAACUGACGUUGAGGCUCGAAAGCGUGGGGAGCAAACAGGAUUAGAUACCCGAGUAGUC